AAUGUCGCAAAAUAUCCUUUUAUUUUUAACGAAGCUACGUUGUUUUUUCUAGCCUUAGUUUUAUCCCUAAACUAGUUCCCUGAAAUUCCUUAUUUUUUUCCCCUAAAAAUUUUCCCCAAAUCCCUUAGAUUUUUCCCGACCGUCUGCUGCAUCGCCAUUUGGCUUAGAAAUGGGAAUUCUAGGAAAUCUGGUCACGAUUCGACUGAGAAGAAAGAGCAUGUGACCCCUAGCAUUGAUAGGCCUACAAGGGAAAGGGAAGUUGUAGAAAGGUAUUUAGCGCUUUCUGUUGCAAGGUCUUCCUCGUCUAAAACUUUGUCAAUUGAAAAGUGGUGCUCAGCUUAAAGAUAUUCCCAGUGGUAUGCGCCUAGUAUUAUCUUUUCAACAGGAAAAACAAAAAGCGAAAGUAGAAGAAAAUAUUGAGAAA